UGACAUUGUUUGUUACAUUUC
rnacentral:piRNA from 1 species